GAACUGUGAAGUAUUAAGCUUCCCUCCGCUUUCGCCUCGCCUUCCCACUGAAAUCGUUUUCUCUUCCAUAUUGUUUUCAGAAGUCGUUGGGUAUACUUGGAUGUCCUAGUACUGAAAUCCGUUGCAAUCAAGCGUUUUUAAGGCGACUUAACAGUCUUCAACUCGUAGGAUGAGAGCUAAGUGGCGAAAGAAGAGGAUGCGCAGGCUAAAGCGUAAAAGGAGGAAGAUGCGUGCGAGGUCCAAGUAAACGACUUCCACAUGAUCUUCUGCAUAAGAAGAACAAAUCUAUAAAUUUACAUUGCUUGACGAACCAUCGUUGAAGCUGCAAGAAAAACUUUGCUUGUAACAAAUUUCAAUGGAUAUGUUUUUCCUGACAGAGGACAUUUUAUACAUUUAAUAUUGCAUUUGAAUAAAUACAAUCAUUUAAAGUUGAAUAUAAA